CCUACGGGUGGCAGCAGUGAGGAAUAUUGGUCAAUGGACGAGAGUCUGAACCAGCCAAGUAGCGUGAAGGAUGACUGCCCUAUGGAUUGUAAACUUCUUUUGUAUGGGAGUAAAAUGUUCCACGUGUGGCAUUUUGUGUGUACCCUAUGAAUAAGCAUCGGCUAACUCCGUGCCAGCAGCCGCGGUAAUACGGCGGAUCCGAGCGUUAUCCGGAUUUAUUGGGUUUAAAGGGAGCGUAGGUGGGUUGUUAAGUCAGUUGUGAAAGUCUGGGGCUCAACCGUAAAAUUGCAGUUGAAACUGGCAGUCUUGAGUACAGUAGAGGUAGGCGGAAUUCGUGGUGUAGCGGUGAAAUGCGUAGAUAUCACGAAGAACUCCGAUUGCGAAGGCAGCUUACUGGACUGCAACUGACACUGAGGCUCGAAAGUGUGGGUAUCAAACAGGAUUAGAUACCCGAGUAGUC
rnacentral:rRNA from 1 species